AGCAGCCGCGGUAAUUCCAGCUCCAAUAGCGUAUAUUAAAGUUGUUGUGGUUAAAAAGCUCGUAGUUGAACCUUGGGCCUGGCUGGCCGGUCCGCCUCACCGCGUGUACUGGUCCGGCCGGGCCUUUCCCUCUGUGGAACCCCAUGCCCUUCACUGGGUGUGGCGGGGAAACAGGACUUUUACUUUGAAAAAAUUAGAGUGCUCCAGGCAGGCCUAUGCUCGAAUACAUUAGCAUGGAAUAAUAGAAUAGGACGUGUGGUUCUAUUUUGUUGGUUUCUAGGACCGCCGUAAUGAUUAAUAGGGACAGUCGGGGGCAUCAGUAUUCAAUUGUCAGAGGUGAAAUUCUUGGAUUUAUUGAAGACUAACUACUGCGAAAGCAUUUGCCAAGGAUGUUUUCAUUAAUCAGGAACGAAAGUUAGGGGAUCGAAGACGAUCAGAUACCGUCGUAGUCUUAACCAUAAACUAUGCCGACUAGGGAUCGGACGAUGUUAUUUUUGUACUCGUUCGGCACCUUACGGGA
rnacentral:rRNA from 1 species